GCCCUCGUGGAUCAUGGUUGAUCAUCUUCAUCCUAUAAUUAUUAUGGAUUGUUUAUGAAGACAUCGUAGGUUCGAAUCCUACCGAGGGCA